rnacentral:rRNA from 1 species
UACGUAGGUGGCAAGCGUUGUCCGGAAUUAUUGGGCGUAAAGCGCGCGCAGGCGGUCCUUUAAGUCUGAUGUGAAAGCCCACGGCUCAACCGUGGAGGGUCAUUGGAAACUGGGGGACUUGAGUGCAGGAGAGAAGAGUGGAAUUCCACGUGUAGCGGUGAAAUGCGUAGAGAUGUGGAGGAACACCAGUGGCGAAGGCGACUCUUUGGCCG